UACGUAGGGGGCAAGCGUUGUCCGGAAUCAUUGGGCGUAAAGAGCGUGUAGGCGGCCAAGCAGGUCAGCUGUGAAAACUCGAGGCUCAACCUCGAGACGUCGGUGGAAACCGUUUGGCUAGAGUCCGGAAGAGGAGAGUGGAAUUCCCGGUGUAGCGGUGAAAUGCGCAGAUAUCGGGAAGAACACCCGUGGCGAAGGCGGCUCUCUGGGACGGUACUGACGCUGAGACGCGAAAGCGUGGGGAGCGAACAGG
rnacentral:rRNA from 1 species